UCCCCUUCGCGCCCGCAGCGUCUGGGCCCGCCAGGGAGUGGGCGGGACCCCGAGCAGAAGGCGGAGGCUGCAGGCGCGGCUCCUGGCCACCAGACGUUCUUUGGAAGCGCGGUUCUCGUGGGUCUUGCGUGGAGGCAAGAGCCGGGUGAACCACUGAGUGGCAUUUCUGAGCAUUUGCCGGAUUUUGUCACUCUAAACCGUACUCGAUACAGUUUUUCCAAUGAAAAAAAUACCAGACUUGUUGCUGAAGACCCUGUGGGAUUGCAGACAGAAUAUGGGCCAAUACUCCUGGAGAUGGAACCUAGGAUCUUGAAUAUGCCAGGCAAACACUGUACCACUGAGCCACACCUCCAGUCCAGUGACUUAUUUCCAAAACCUAAGUCAUCAUGAGCAUCUCCCUGCACAUCAGACAGUACAAAGCCCGUGAGUCACCAGUGGAAGCCACGGAUGACGGUCUCUCUGCGAGAUGGUGGCGUUUUAAGGCAAGUGCUCUACACCGAGUCACGCCUCCAGCUCUUAAAUAAGAACACUGAGAGAUAUAUGAACUUUUAUCACUGUAUUUUAUUAUUAUGCACCAGGGACUCACAUUUGCUAGGUAAACCUUCUACCAUAGAACUCUAUGCCCUGCCCUCUUAUGACGUCUUGAGUUGAACUCUUUCGAAUGUCGAUGUUUUAGAGCAAGGGAGGGGGUCACCCAUGCCCCACUUGGCCUUCUUCAGCUCUUACACCAAGAAGCCAUGCCGUGCUGUGCUGCAGAGUGCGGUUUCCAGGAAAUCACUUCCAAACACAAGCACAGGAGCCCUUGUGGCUGUCUAGCACCUACAACUGCUGACCGCAGCAUAAGUGAGUGCAGAGGUGACUCACACCAAAGACAAGUGAAACCCAUGAGCUUGGAAAAGAGAGCAUUUUCCUGGUAGGCAGUUAUCAAACGAUCCGAAUGUAAAGUGGUCACUCGGCACUGCAGCAGGGCUCCUUCACAAACACAAAGCUUUAGUGAGGCUCUGCAAGCAUAGCAGUGAGGAGGCAGAACAGACCUCGAGGCAUGGUGGCCGUGACACAGUACCCAAGUCCCUGAUUUCUGUUAGCGAAGUCGCAGGGUCUGCCGACGCUACUGUAGGUCUGUUCCCUAUCAUCGCAAGGAACGAACGCUGGGGUUUGGUUAACGUUUAAUGAAAAUAGAGAUACUGAUUUUUUCCUGUCAGCUUCAGAGACCCCUAAAGUCUAUCCACAGAUGCCUGCAAUGUCUCAAGACCCCCCCUUAUCAUUUCACUUAGCCUUUAAAAAAUUAAAUUAUAAUUUCAAAAAUAACAAA